rnacentral:rRNA from 1 species
GAGCACGUAGGUGGGUUUGUAAGUCACAUGUGAAAGCCUUCUGUUCAACGGAAGAAUUGCAUCUGAAACUGCGAGUCUUGAGUGUAGGAGGGGAGAAUGGAACCUCUGGUGGAGCGGUGAAAUGCGUAGAUAUCAGAAGGAACUCCGGCGGCGAAGGCGAUUCUCUGGCCUAUUACUGACACUCAGUGUGCGAAAGCUAGGGGAGCAAACGGGAUUAGAUACCCCGGGAGUCCUAGCCGUAAACGAUGGGCACUAAGUAGAGGGGUUUU